CGCCUGCUUGCUAUAAUUAGCCGGAUAUCUGACCGUAACAUGGCAAACAGCCUGGAACGCCGCCCCGAAGGCGAGGCUGUAUAAGACCGUCGAGCCCUCACCACAUGUUUGGCACAAGACUUUCGCUCACAAGCAGGACACAUACAAAGUUUAGCCAGUAUCCAGGGCUCCUCUGAUCUUUGCUUCUUGUGAGGUAUAACGAAGAUGGUCUGUAAAGGUUGUACUACAAGAAGCCCAAGGAAUACCUCUGUUCUCUUUCCUGUAACCCCUGAGGCUCACACUUCCAAUUCUGAGGAAUAAUCAACUAAAUGAUAUGUCCAGAGGGUAUGACGUCAUCUUUACAUUACCACAGAUCAUGGGGGAGACAAUACAGGCUUCUCCCCAGCCUUCUAAUCCCUCAUGGAGUGUGAUGUGUCAUGGAUCUUCGUUCCAUGGUGGAUUCCCGAUGGACCUUACCUGAUGAAAGGUCUUGAGAGGGCCAGAACGAUCUAUCAGGAUUCUUUGACAACAGUCAAUAUCCUGAUCAAGCAGUUAAAAUCAAAGCAUGGAAAAGGUAGGGCCUGAUGACCUGCAUGUCUAUCCUCUGCUCCUGGUCCCCGAUGACCACGGUCCUCCAAAGGCGUUCAGCGCUGUCCUCCUCUUCGUGGUCACCGGGUAGACUCUUGGCGCUCGCCACCGGGGUGUCAUCUAACAAAAUAAUACGGUAAUAAGAGUCCCCUUGUCUAACCUUCCCACUCCAACUCGUUGCUGUUGUUGAUAAAUUCAAGCGAGUCAUUGUCGUCAGGGGUCUCGAUGUCAUCCACGUUGAUGUCCAGGUCAUCGGGCGUUUCCAGGAAGUCAUCUGAGAGCACCGAUCCCUCACUCUGGUCUAGGGACAAGUUCAUCUCCGGAGCCACGAGCGUACGGCGUUUGCAAUGGGCGGCAGACUCACCCACAUUCAGAGUGGUGGGCGGAGCUAGAAGUAGGAAACUAUCUUGACAAAAAGUCCUUGACCACACUUUAUAUUAAAGUCUACCCCCGCAGAUUUUUUUAUAAAAAAACAUUUGGGGGGUUUCUGCAAUAUGGGAUACUCGGGAUGUAUUUAGAUUUUAUUUAAAAAAUCUUUGCUUUCUGUUCUUGUAGAGACCCACAGACAGCAUUAUUAACUUGUUUUUCCGGUGCCAUUGUACAUGAUAGGAUGCAGUGGUUUAAAACUAAUGUGUCAAUAAAGCCCUUCAAGGAAUAAGUAGUUUAAACAAACUGGACAAAUAAUAAAUAAAUAUACAUUUAUGGCAUUGAUUUAUAGAAUGAAUGAAUCCCUUCCUUCCUCCAUUCAUUCGUUCAUUUAAUGGUUAUUGUACUCAACCAAUCUGUCAUUUGGAUACAGUAGUCAGGAUGUACUGUACGUACCGACUUUGUGGUCAGUGAGACCACAGUGGUUCUCCAGUUCCCCCUCUUCUGGCAGAGGCCUACACAGAACACACAACCAGAGAACCCUGUCAGAAACCACUCCGUUCCCAAAUGUUUGCCUGAAGGUAUUUGGUAUAGCUUUUAAUGGUAUUAAAUCAAUUGAUGUCUAUUAGGACUCCUUACAAGUUUUUUUUUCUUUCUGAAAAUAAAGUAUUCAAUCAAUCUUGA